rnacentral:pre_miRNA from 1 species
AUAAUACUCCCUCCGUUCCAAAUUACUCGUCGCAGAAAUGGAUGUAUCUAGAACUAAAAUACAUCUAGAUACAUCCAUUUAUGCGACGAGUAAUUCGGAACGGAGGGAGUAUAAG